AUCCUCUCAGGGUCGCACCUGGAGAGCUUCCUGUACUCUACCAGUCUUGACUACAGGAAGAAGAGUCAAGCAGAGGCACACCCAUUCCAUUCCUAGCUUGGGCAGGGGCUAGCGAGUGGAAGGCAAUCUGCUACAAGU